UCUAGUCAAGUUAUUUAAAACGUCGGUUAGAUAUUUUGAUAGUCCAUAUGUUGGGGAAUUAAUUGAUAUACAAAUCGGCCUGAGUGGAUUUUGGAUAAGCCAUAAAUUCUUGGGGCAAUCGCGGUAUAAUUCGUCAACAGGUUCAUUCCUGAAGUGGGAUCCCUUUUUAGACGUUUAUAUGUACACAUAUCCCCUAGUAUGGUACGCAUUUUUGUAACGUAGACAUUUUUUUUGCAAUACCACGGUUUUGCCUCCUUAAUCUGCUGACAAAAUUAGAAUGUCUUUAUUAGCCUUUAAAAACGUCUUUUUCCCCCCUGUAUCAAAUAUGAA